AAGCCUAGAAGUCGAGCAGCUAUUUAGUUAUGAGGCUGGCUUUUGGUGGUGGUGGGUGUGAGCGUGUUUCUUCUUUACUAACUUGAGGAAUGAACAGAAGGCUUCCUACUGUGGGGUGAGGGGCUAAUUGGAAACGUGGACAGCGGCAUGUCCCCACUAUCGAUAUAGAAGACGCUAAACAGUUUUCCCAUGACUGCUUUUGAAGUGGCACGGAAUGGACAGAGAGACCACUUUGGUCAGAACAUCAAGCUGUGGCUCGGUGCAAGCAGAUAGGUGGUUUUCAGACCUGCUUACCUAAAGGGUCUAAUGGAGACCAUACUGUGUAGCCAAGGAUUACCUUGAAUCUAUGAUCUUCCUUGACUCCACUUCACCACUGCUGCGACUACAGGUGUGUGCCACGAUGCUCCAUUUAUGUGACGGAUUAUGGAGGAUUAAAUCCAGGCUUCGUGCCUGAUUGGCAAGCACUCUGCCAACUGGACUACAUCCCAACCCAAGGAUCAGAAACUUCCAGUUCUGGUUUGGUUUGUGAUGGGUGAUGUGGGCCACCAGAAAGAUGUGGCAACGCACAGCGCCCACACCCAACAGAAGGCAGUAACUGAACCGUUGCUAUGUGGGAAUGCAAGCCUGAUGUUACCAGAGCCUUCCUCCCAAGAGAAAUUUGAAAUCUGUGUUUCUUUGUGAAGCGCUAUUGUUUGAGUAUAUCCUCCAAAGUAGAUGUGUUGGAAGCUAAACCCCAGGUAUAUGGAAAGACAGAACUGUUAAGGUAUGCUUUGAGGGCUCUGCCUUCAUGAAUGAUUUAUACUGUUGUCUUUGAAUGGGUUUCAAUUUUUCAUUUUAAAGAUUUAUCUAUUCAUUCAUUUUUUAUUUAUUUUAUGUGUGUAUAUAUAUAUCAAUGUAUGUGUACCACAUGAGGUACUCACAGAGGCCAGAAGAAGUUGGCAGAUUCCCUGGAACUGAAAUUACAGGCAGUUAUGAACCACCCAUUAUGAGGGCUGGGAACUGAACUUGGCUCCUCUGCAAGAGCAGCAAGUGCUUUUUAGCCACUAAGCUAUCUCUCCAGCCCUCCCUUUUAUUUUCAAUACAAUUUAUUUGAUCAUAUCUACCCCCAAUUCCGCGCACCUCUCCUCCCAGGCACCGCUACUUUCUACUUCAGAGGCCUCUGGGGUUUAGUUGUAUGUGACCUCCACAUAUGAAAAAACGUUGGCAGGAAGUGGGGAAGGGCAGCAAGAUGCUUCAGCAAGGAGAGGCACAUCGGACAAGCCUGAUCACCUCAGUUAGAUCCCUGAAACCCACACAAGGUUUAACUGAUAACCAGAAGGAGAUAACUGAUUUCCACAUAUGUGUUUACACACACACAUGUAUACACAGCACAUAUACCCAUUCAUUCACACACACACACACACACACACACACACACACACACAGAGUGUGUAAAAUAAAUGUAAAAACUUCAAAGACAUGAAGAAACUGCUAAUGUUCUGUUUCAUAUAGCUAAGCUUGUCCUGUGCCUGCAAAGGCAGUAACUGUUGGAAACAUCUGGAAGCUCCCAGCGUUUGUUGGAGAAUGUUAUACUUGUUUUUCAUCCUCUGUUGACCCAAACAUUUUGCUUGCUUAGGAUCUCCUCUACUUCCUGUUUGCUGCUAGCAAAGUUGGUCAGCCUGUGUGCUGCUGGUUGGCCCAGCCUCCCUCAGCUACACAGAGAACUUCCCAGACACUUCCUGCCAAACCAUUUCUGACCACCUUGUUUACAUACGCACCCCUUCUGCCCACGCUUCUCCAAAGAUAGAGACAGAGGGCAUCAGUCAAAAGAUCUUGCAGAGACAACCUGUUAGAAGCAGAAAGAAAACCAAGGGGGGCUAAUGGGGUUAACUUGAUAAGUCUGGGUCGAUUGCUCACUCAAGACACCCCAAUUUCCUGUUAGCUCAGAUCGACCACAUGCUUAGCUCUUAGUAAUUCCCAAGUCUGCUUGCUUCCCUACACUUCAAGGAUCUGUGUUUCUUGCGACCUCUCCUAAGUCCCCUCUGAUUUAAGUUAACUGCAGCUGGUUCCCACAGUCUGCACCAAUUUAAGAACUGUAAGUGAUACGGAAAUCCAAUGGAAAGAUUUGACUCCUUGAACAGUUAAAUUUCACUGACUAGAAAUCUUUUUAAGUUAAAAGUAGAAGAAAAAUGUGUGUGUGUGUACCAGAGAUUGACACUGUUAUCUUCUAUUACUCUCACUUUUUGAGACAGUCUGUCAGUGAGCCUAGAUCUCACAGAUUCUGUUACACUGACUGUCCCGGAAGCUCCAAGGACCCCCUCCCCUUUCCACUUCUCCAAUGCUGGAGUAAGGGGAUUGUAGGUGUUAGCACCUACACUCAGUCUUUUAUUAGGGGUGCUGGGGAUCCAAACUCAGGCUACCAUCAUGCUCAUGCAGCUGGCACUGUCCUGACUGCCUGUCCCUAGCCCAGGAAACCGAUGUUUUAAAGAAAAUGUAGCUGAAGUCACAGGAAAGUAGACACAUUAAAUACUGUGUGAGAGCACUCACAUCUUCUUAGAAAUUACCACACGUUAUUCAUUAAAACUUAUUGAGGGAGGGGGUUGGAGAGAUGAUGGAUCGGCAGUUAAGUGUGCUAGCUGUUCUUCCAGAGGACCCAGGUUGGGUUCCCAGCACCCCACAUGGUGACUUACAACAGCCUGCAGCUCCAGUUCUGGAGGACUCUCUUCUGGCUUUGUAUACACCGA